AACGAACGCUGGCGGCAUGCCUAACACAUGCAAGUCGAACGAAGGCUUCGGCCUUAGUGGCGCACGGGUGCGUAACGCGUGGGAAUCUGCCCUCAGGUACGGAAUAACUCGGGGAAACCCGAGCUAAUACCGUAUAAUGACUUCGGUCCAAAGAUUUAUCGCCUGAGGAUGAGCCCGCGUCGGAUUAGCUAGUUGGUGGGGUAAAGGCCCACCAAGGCGACGAUCCGUAGCUGGUCUGAGAGGAUGAUCAGCCACACUGGGACUGAGACACGGCCCAGACUCCUACGGGAGGCAGCAGUGGGGAAUAUUGGACAAUGGGCGAAAGCCUGAUCCAGCAAUGCCGCGUGAGUGAUGAAGGCCUUAGGGUUGUAAAGCUCUUUUACCCGGGAUGAUAAUGACAGUACCGGGAGAAUAAGCCCCGGCUAACUCCGUGCCAGCAGCCGCGGUAAUACGGAGGGGGCUAGCGUUGUUCGGAAUUACUGGGCGUAAAGCGCACGUAGGCGGCUUUGCAAGUUAGAGGUGAAAGCCCGGGGCUCAACUCCGGAAUUGCCUUUAAGACUGCAUCGCUAGAAUUGUGGAGAGGUAAGUGGAAUUCCGAGUGUAGAGGUGAAAUUCGUAGAUAUUCGGAAGAACACCAGUGGCGAAGGCGACUUACUGGACACAUAUUGACGCU
rnacentral:rRNA from 1 species